rnacentral:lncRNA from 1 species
AUAAUAAUAAUAAUAAUAAUAAUAAUAAUAAUAAUAAUAAGUCUCAUUGGGCCGAAAAAUUGGCCCCACAACACACACAAGACAGCUAGCAGCGCCCAGCCCAGCGCUUAGGCCCAUAAUGUAAGCCCAAACCGCGCUCCAGGCCCAGACCCGCGUAGCAGACCCUGUUCACGACCCUUUCACCCGCGCCCGACCUAGUCCACCACUUUUCUAACCCGCGUCUUGUUCGUCUGCAGUUAGGGUUUGUGAAACCCUAGCAGCCGCUGCACAUCACCUGCUCAGCCGCUGCCUAACGCACCUUCUUCCACAACGUCGUCGCUCUAGCCGUGGUCUUCCCUCUGGAGAGCCUUUGCUCGACGUCGGCGUCGCAGAGCCGCAACAACUCCCGGAGCAUGUUCACGCCUUUUGAGGUUUGAUAUUUUUUUAUUGAAAUUGAAGCAAAUUUGAUCAUAGUUUUGAUAAUUAUUGGAUUGAACACGAUCACACACUGACGAGCCCAAGUUUUGUGCUCUUUUUCUUUGUUGGAUAUGAGUUUUUAGUAUUAAUGAAAUAAAUAUUUGAAAAAAUAAAAAAUUUAAAUAGAUUGCAAAAUAGACAAAUAGACAUCCAACACAACUCUGUUGUCAAUCAAUAAAUAGACAAAUGGUUGUCUAUUUGUUGAUAGACAAGAUGCAGAGAAAUCGUAAUCUAUAUAAAAAAUCGCAGUCGAAAUAGACAACGAUUUUAAAAAACGAUGUCUAUCAGCUCCCCUAUAUAAACUAGAAAUUCAUUUAUGACAUGCGAUUUUUUAAUAGACAACAAUUUUCUCUUGCUAUGUAUUAGCGAAAUUCUUGUAGUGUAGAGAAGUCCCAAGUCGAAGAGGUCAGAGUCCCUGUAAUUAUGCUCCAAACAAGACUUCAUUCAAUCAAAAGAUAAGUAGUCGUGCAAAUUCUCAAGAUUCGCCAAGAGAAAACUCUCAAAACAGCUACUAAAAAUUCGCGAAUAGAUAAGCUUUGCGCUAUAUAUCCCUGACACAACUAGCGCAAUGGGUGAUAUUAUACUUACUUCAGGAAGUGCAUAUGCUAAUACUUUCAAAAUGUCUACAUAAUGACAAUAUAAGUGAGUAUAACGUAUACUCUAACAAUAGGCACUGCAUAUUUUGCUCUCCUAAUGUAUAAUAUUACUUUGUUCAUUCAAGUUUAUGCUUUUUUAAUGUGAUUAUUCAUAUGUUAUACUACCUCUGUCCCAUAAGAGUGGUGCAUGAUUGUUGAUGUCACGUGUUUUAAUAAAUAUUAGUGAGUGUGUUAUUAGUGGAAGAAGUGACCCACUUUUAUUAAUUAGUGGAAGAAGGGGUUCAGAAAAGAAAAGUACACAUUUUUAUGGGACAUCCCAAAAUAGAAAUUAGUGCAACUCUUUAGACAGAGGGAAUAUUAAUUUGUUCAUCUCAAAUUUAUGAAUUUUAGACGUUUGUGCAUGUAUUAUUCUCUAUUAAUUAAUUCUCACGUAAAAAUCUCAUUCUCAUCACUUGAUCCUAAACCUAUAAAUACAGAACAUGCAUAUUAAUACAUUUGAAAUUGGUAGUGAUGAAAUAGCCCCUAUAAUAAGCAAUCAAUAAAUUAGGAAACAUAUAACAAUCACAACAACAAAUGACGGCCAUUAUUGGUUGAUUCAAGCAUAUACACUCGCGUACACAAAAAAUACAAUUCAAAAGCUGCAGAAAAGAAAACAGUAGAGAAAAGAGAAGACGUUUGAGGUGGGCAGGGCAUCAAUUGGCAAUGGCAUCCUGAUCAUCUUCAUCAUCAUACUCUCCUUCAUUAUCCGCAUUGGCAUCCUGAUACUGCUGAUACUCGGACACGAGAUCAUUCAUGUUGCUCUCGGCCUCGGUGAACUCCAUCUCGUCCAUGCCUUCGCCGGUGUACCAAUGCAAGAAAGCCUUCCUCCUAAACAUGACGGUGAACUGCUCCGACACCCGCCGGAACAUCUCCUGUAUGGACGUGGAGUUCCCGACGAAGGUGGAGGACAUGGACAGGCCCGUGGGGGGGACGUCGCACACGCUGGACUUGACGUUGUUUGGGAUCCACUCCACGAAGUAGGACGAGUUCUUGUUCUGCACGUUGAUCAUCUGCUCGUCCACCUCCUUGGUGCUCAUCUUGCCCCGGAACAUCGCCGACGCCGUCAGGUACCGCCCGUGCCGCGGGUCGGCCGCGCACAUCAUGUUCUUCGCGUCCCACAUCUGCUGCGUCAGCUCCGGGAUCGUCAGCGCCCGGUACUGCUGCGAGCCGCGCGAGGUCAGCGGGGCGAACCCCACCAUGAAGAAGUGCAGCCGCGGGAACGGGAUGAGGUUCACCGCCAGUUUCCGCAGGUCCGAGUUCAGCUGCCCCGGAAACCGCAGGCAGCAGGUCACCCCGCUCAUCGUCGUCGAGAUCAGGUGGUUCAGGUCGCCGACUGUAUAUUAUAUUAAUAUUAUCAGACCAGAUCACACCAUACUCUUUUUACUUUACUUAACCUAUAUUUAUGCAUACAUUUCACUUUUGGUACGUUUUUUAAAUUUAUACAUACUCUAUUUUUAGACAGUAUUAUCUCAUACAUACAUGGACGGUUUUUUAGGCCAGGCACCCUUAACCACUGCCCGGUCAAUUCUUUUUAUCUUACCUGUAUAUAUGAUUUAAAAAAAAAUCUAUAUAUAUGUUAAUCCCGUCUGAUCAUAAUUGUAUAAUUUCAAAUAAUUAUUUUAAGAUCCGACCGAUUUUCUUUACUAAAAAUUCAUUAGAAUCAUCCGAUGAAAUCUCACUGUUUCCUAAAUCCGCCCCCGCACACAUAAUUUUCACAAUUUUACCUUUAUAAUUUAUAUUAUUUAUCCAUAAUCUAUUUAACAAUACCCUCUGUAGGACUCUUUCUUCACUAUCAAUAUUUAAAACAACUUUAUAUUAAAGUUGGUGUCGUGGUCAACUAUGUAUAUUUAGGGGGGGACGGAGGGAGUAGUAGUAUACUUACAGCUUGGGUUGGUGAGCUUGAGGGUGCGGAAGCAGAUGUCGUAGAGGGCCUCGUUGUCGAGGACCAUGCACUCGUCGGCGUUCUCGACGAGCUGGUGGACGGAGAGGGUGGCGUUGUAGGGCUCGACGACGGUGUCGGAGACCUUGGGGGAAGGGAAGACGGAGAAUGUGAGCAUCAUGCGGUCAGGGUACUCUUCUCUGAUCUUGGAGAUGAGGAGAGUCCCCAUCCCAGAGCCCGUGCCCCCUCCCAAGGAGUGGCAUACCUGAAAGCCUUGCAGGCAGUCGCAGUUCUCUGCUUCUUUCCGAACCACGUCGAGAACAGAGUCGAUCAGCUCUGCUCCCUCCGUGUAGUGCCCCUUGGCCCAGUUAUUCCCGGCGCCGUUCUGCCCGAACACGAAGUUAUCCGGCCGGAAUAUCUUCCCGUAAGGCCCGGUUCUCAGGCUGUCCAUCGUCCCGGGCUCCAGGUCCAUCAGCACCGCCCGGGGCACGUACCGCCCUCCGCUAGCCUCGUUGUAGUAAACGUUGAUCCUUUCCAGCUCGUUUUUCGACGUCCCCACGUAGUUUCCCACCUCGUUGAUGCCGUGCUCUUCGCACACCACUUCCCAGAACUUGCCGCCGAUUUGGUUGCCGCAUUGCCCUGCUUGGAUGUGAAGAAUUUCUCUCAUUUUCUUGUUUUUCUGUAUCUUUGAUGGAUCAACCCAAAUUGUAGUAGCUAUAGGCUAUGGAGAGGAGAGUAGUGUUGCUGUUUUUGUAGUGAAGGGGGAGAUGAUUAAUUAUAGUAUGUAUGAUAUGAUUGAGACGUUGAUAUUUCUUUUGCAUAUUUAAAUGUGAAGAGAUAAGAAUAUAUCGAUGGUUAGAGUUAAUAAUUUCAUGUGGGCUUGUUUUUUCGGCCACCAUGUCAAGGAUCAACAGGAGUUUCUGAGCUGGAAUGGAAAGGAGACAAGGCAACUAACUGCAUCAUAUCUCAUGUGGGCUGCAUAAAAAUCCAAGAUUUGCUCCAACCCAUAUAUCUAUCUCUUUCUUCAUAUAAUUAUAAUCCCAUUUAUGACCUUGUCCAAAAAUUGAAAAACAUAUACAUAUCGACUAUACCAUUUAUGGCUCCCACCAUUGUCACGAUAUAUGUUUCGUGAAUUUCGGUUUCGGUCUAUAUUCAAUGUGUUAUUUGGUCAAUUUAGUUAAUUUAUGACUAUACCAUUUAUGACUGAUUGUGUCACUGUACCAGUCACUAUUAUAUUGAUUAUUUUAAUAAAUUUUUUAUUAACAUAAAAUUUAUUAUAAUAUUAUAAGUCAUCAUUUUAAUUUUUAUAUACAUUUUAACUGUUCACGUGAAGUCAAGUCUAUGAACAUGGUAGGAGAUUUAGAAAUCUUAGUGUCAUUAUUUUUGGAGGGUGGGAUGUGAUGUUAUUCUUAAUUAAUCACUUUUUAGGUGAUAAUUAGUGUUCCUUAAUGAUAAUGAAUGAGUUUAGACAUAAUAAUCGUCGGUUGCCAACUUGUGUACUAAUCUGGCAUCUUAAUUGAGAGAGAAGAAGGUGUGGAAGAAUAGGUAUAGGAAGCUUCAAUUAUUGAUGCAAUGAGUGUCUCACUGUCGAUGAUCAUAUCUCUAUUUUUAUUACAAACUUCUCUCUCAUUUCCAGAUUGUAACAAUGGCGUAUGGUAUGGGAUCCAAUGUUGUACUCAUCUCAUUUUUAACCAAAUUUAGUUAGUAUAACUUUUUUUUUAGGUAAAAGGAAAUUUAUUUAGAAGACGAAUAAGAACACCCGAGAGUCGGAAGAUCAAUCACAAUACUAGGCGGUUCAGUCCACACAUGAGGGUUCAAAAAAGACCGAGCA